rnacentral:lncRNA from 13 species
GCGGCAUCCAGGAAUGUGGGCCCAAGUCCCUGUGCUUCCGGCAGGGGGAAACUCCCCCUCGGGGAAAUAAUUGUGACUUGGACGGUGAACUGGAAUGUUUGGAGACACAGGCUAUGGACUAGAUAGGGUGUAGGCAGAUCCACAGGAGUCCCUGAUCUACCAGGGGGUAGAAGGCAGCCAUGGAAGAGACCGGCUAGCGUCAGGGCGUCUCAGCGGGGUAAAAGUCUACAGGGCCCAGGCCAUCUCUUUGUCUGUGUAACAAGAACAGAAGAUGAACAAAUCAACAAGACUAAAACCCUACUCUCAAGAUUUCACACAGUUGGAGAAUUGACCAAGUAAGCCACGUAGAGGUCCUGGGGUAGAAGAAUGCAGGGAGUACUGAGGGAGCAGACAGAAAACGCCAGCUAGUCUGAGGAAGGUCCAUACAUUUAAAACAUAGGGCUAAAUUUUACCAGAGCAUGAAAAAAUGAUGACCCC